AGUCAUCCUCCGGUAUAAAUAGUGGAAAACGCCCGCUUGCGCCCAAUCGGCACAAUGAAGUAUUUACAUAUCUUUAUAAUAGUGCUGGUAUUGAGCAUGUGUUUCGCAGCACCUGGAGAAGGAGAUAAAGGAGGGUUCAAAGGCUGCAAGGGUGAUAAGGAUUCAUCAAGUGAUUCAUCCGACAGCAAGAGCAGUGAAAGCAGUAGCAGUGAAGAACAUCCAAAAGGAAAAGGUGAUGGGGGACAUUCUAACGAUAAGGGAAAGAAAUAUUAAGUUACUUUGGUAUACGAACAACUUAUGAUAUCAAACACAUGAUGCACCAAUUUUGUUUGAUUAAAUUUAAAAGAAACAGAUUAUAUUUCUUGCUUUACAAAUAUUUCUCGACACGAGAGUAUUCUUUUUGAAAUAUCUGCUAGUAAAAUGCUUUCAUGUACUUCACACAUACCACUAUUUUAUUUAUGACGAUGACGGUUUUACUAACAAAGCUGGAGCAUUCUCCAAAUUUAUUAUCAAAGUAACAUACUUAAUAUGUAUAAGAAAAUUUGUCUUGUAUCAUAUUCAAAAAGAUUUACGCGAUCAAACAGAAGUUGCUUAUCUUGGUCAGCAAAAUAACAGUGUAUUACGCAAUUAUUUUUAAUUCAAAUAAAACAAAAUUGAUUUGA